CGCAUGAAUUUGGGGAUCCGUAGUUAUUUUCCAAAAGCACUACCUAGCCUACGGUUGACUAUAGUCCGCGCGGAACUUGGCCGCGCCUUAGGUAUGUGAGCUUGUGAGCGGUGGGGCGGAGAGGCGAGGGCACUUGCUGUCUACACUCAGUUAGACGCCGUACGCAGUGACGGCAACGCACGUUGACAGUUCCGGUUAGCUGACACAAAACGCACACAGAGCCCGCGCGCUAAUAAAUAAAUACCUACCAUUCAGUCUCUGCCCUCCACCUAAGUUCAUCGUGACGAGUGUUGUUUUUGGCGCUGGACACCGCGCGAAAACUUUGUAGUGCCUAUACCUUUGUUCACGUAGGUAACUUCGAUUGCGCCGUUUUAAAAGUGUCACUAGGUAGAUAUUAGCAUUAUUUACCAUAUAGGUUGUUAAAAUAAAUAAGAGUGCAAGACGAUUUAGACGUUAUUGUAUUUUUUUAAUUUAAUUCUGUUAACUAAACAAUAAUAUUUCAAUUUCAGAAUGCCAUUCAAAAUUGUAAGAACAUUAGAGAAGGGAAAAUACAGCCACUGGAUUGUUCCUGCUACAUGGGAAUCUAAUAACAUUGUAAAAUGGCCUAAAAGAAACAUUUCAAAACUUGUUAAAUGCGAUGAUUACUUACCAGACCCGGAUUGGCGACAAAUAAAGUGCCGAGUAAAACGAAACAAUAUUCCAACUUAUAAGGACGCUGAACGAGAACUCGAGAAUUUAUUAUGUGUAACAGACACUGAUGAAGAGCAAAUAAAUGACAAAAUGACAAAAUCCAACAAACAAGAAGUAAACUUGAAUGCACUUGUGGAACAAUUGACUACCAACCAAUACGAACCACUCAUGAUUUCUGUACCCAAUGAGCCCAACGCGUCUUCCUCUAAAUUUACAACAUCCGACCAACAACAAGUGUAUAACCAAUACAAUUCACCCGUGAUUUCUGUACCCAAUGAGUCCAGCGAGUCUUCAUCUCAAAUCAUUUUGACUUCAGAUAACCAAAUACUGGGUAUACCUCCAAAUACCUAUUGUGUGCUUGCUGAAAACCAAGAUCACUUUAUAGACAAAUCACAAGAAAAUAGUGAUUUAAAGAAAAUAUUAGACGUAUUGGAAAACCACGACAAAAGAUGGAUUCAAUAUUGGAAAAUCAAAAAAAAAUUAUGCACAAGAUGGCUUGCAUUUCUGUCCAAGUUGAUAAUAUGCAAUUACAACUCGGUAAUUGCAAUGAAGAGGAUGUUGUUCCCUUGGGUACGUCUAAAAACCAAGUUGAGAACUUGCGAUUCAGUUUCUCUCCAAUUACAACUGUUGAAGAUUUGAACAAAAUCAAUGAUUUACUUUCUGAUAAAACUGCUAGAAAACAACUGAAACAAACUUUUUCGGUUAUUUGUUCCGGUGGAAAAGGAAUUAAUUGUGCCUACAGACUUAUAGAUAUCAUGUUUUCGCGUGAUUUUUUGUGUCAGUGCUCUUGGAGUGGCAGUAGUCGUUCUGAUGGCGUUAAAAUUAGUUUAAAGUGCUAUAAAAAUGUUGUUUCGUUUUUUUGGGAGAUGAUUUUCAGUUGGGACCAGACUUUUACAUUACAAAAAAAUGAGCUUUUUUUCAAAAGCAUUUUGAAGAAUGCCAACAAAAGAAAAAAUGCUAAACAAGAAAGGUCAUCUACUGCACGAAAACGAGCCAAAAUUGAAAAUAAUAAAAGUAGCUCAGAGCCUUAUAAUAAUGAAAAUAGUGCCGGAAAUAUUGAACAAGACGCAAA